rnacentral:rRNA from 1 species
UAGGGAAUCUUCCGCAAUGGGCGAAAGCCUGACGGAGCAACGCCGCGUGAGUGAUGAAGGUCUUCGGAUCGUAAAACUCUGUUAUUAGGGAAGAACAAAUGUGUAAGUAACUAUGCACGUCUUGACGAUACCUAAUCAGAAAGCCACGGCUAACUACGUGCCAGCAGCCGCGGUAAUACGUAGGUGGCAAGCGUUAUCCGGAAUUAUUGGGCGUAAAGCGCGCGUAGGCGGUUUUUUAAGUCUGAUGUGAAAGCCCACGGCUCAACCGUGGAGGGUCAUUGGAAACUGGAAAACUUGAGUGCAGAAGAGGAAAGUGGAAUUCCAUUUGUAGCGGUGAAAUGCGCAGAGAUAUGGAGGAACACCAGUGGCGAAGGCGACUUUCUGGUCUGUAACUGACGCUGAUGUGCGAAAGCGUGGGGAUCAAACAGG